rnacentral:tRNA from 1 species
GGGACGUUAGCUCAGUUGGUAGAGCACAGUGUUCACAUCGCUGGGGUCAGUGGUUCGAGCCCACUACGUCCCACCA